rnacentral:rRNA from 11 species
GUUAAACAACAUCUUAUUCUAAACACACUGGAUCCCAUCUGAUCUUGGAAGCCACAGAGGGUCAACUCCAUUUAGCACUUAGAGGGGAAACCACCACCAAAUACCAGGUGGAGUGUAGACUAUAUUUCAGA